GUGGGCUGAGUCCGAAAAGAGAGUCAGCGAAGGGAGAUAGGGGUGGGGCCGUUUUAUAGGAUUUGGGAAGGUAAUGGAAAAUUAGUCAAAGGGGGUUGUUCUCUGGUGGGCAGGGGUGGGGGGUCACAAGGUGCUCAGUGGGGGAGCUUCUGAGCCAGGAGAAGGAAAUUCGCAGGGUUAAUCACUCAGUUAAGGUGGGGCAGGAACAAAUCACAAUAGUGGAAUGUCAUCAGUUAAGGCGGGGCAGGGCCUUUUCACUUCUUUUGUGAUUCUUCAGUUACUUCAGGCCAUCUGGGCGUAUACGUGCAAGUCACAGGGGAUGCGAUGGCUUGGCUUGGGCUCAGAGGCCUGACAUUCCUGCCUUCUUAUAUUAAUAAGAAAAAUAAAACAAAAUAGUGUUGAAGUGUUGAGGCGGCAAAAAUUUUUGGGGGUGUUAUGGAGAGAGAAUGGGUGAUGUUUCUCAGAGCUGCUUCAAGUGGGAUUAGGGGCGGCGUGGGAACCUAGAGUGGGAGAGAUUAAGCUGAAGGGAGGUCUUGUGGUAAGGGGUGAUAUUGUGGGGAUGUAAGAAGAAACAUUUGUCAUAUAGAAUGAUUGGUGAUGGCCUGGAUACGGUUUUGUAUGAAUUGAAAAACUAAAUGGAAUAUGAGAAGGCGAAAAACAGGUAUAAAAGGACUAAGAAUUGGGAGGACCUAGGCCAUCUAAUUAGAGAGUGCCUAAGGAGAUUCAGCAUAGUCCUGCCGGCAAAGAUUAUUUAUUUACUUCAAGAGUUUAGAGUGGCAGUUUGGGGAUAGCACUAGGAGAUAUCACCUGUGAUGUCUUGGAGAAAGAGUGUAAACCGGCAGUGUAAACAAGAGCAGGGCAUGUGUGAGUAGUUGAGAACAGUGAAUAGGAGUAUGACUAACAGAUGAGGAUGAAAUUUGGGCUUGACUGAAGUAAUGGGGGCUGUCUGUGAAGCCUUGCAGCAGUACAGCCCAGGUAAUUUGCUGAGCCUAAUGGGUGUCAGGGUCAGUCUAAGUGAAGGCAAAGAGAGGCUGGGAUGAAGGGUGCAAGGAAUAGUAAAGAAAGCAUGUUUGAGAUCCAGAACAGAAUAAUGGGUAGUAGAGGGAGGUAUUGAGGAUAGGAGAGUCUAUGGGUUUGGCACCACGGGGUGGAUAGGCAAAACAAUUUGGUUGAUAAGGCGCAGAUUCUGAACUAACUUGUAAGGCUUGUCUGGUUUUAGGACAGGUAAAAUGGGGGAAUGGUAAGGAGAGUUUAUAAGCUUUAAAAGGCCACGCUGUAGCAGGCGAGUGAUAACAGGUUUUAAUCUUUUUAAAGCGUGCUGUGGGAUGGGAUAUUGGCGUUGAGCGGGGUAAGGGUGAUUAGGUUUUAAUGGGAUGGUAAGGGGCAUGUGAUCGGUUGCCAGGGAAGGAGUAGAGAUGUCCCAUACUUGCGGGUUAAGGUGGGGGGAUAUGAGAGGAAGACGCGAAGGAGGCUUUGGGUUGGGGAGAAGGGCGGCAAUGAGAUGUGGCUGUAGUCCAGGAAUAGUCAGGGAAGCAGAUAACUUAGUUAAAGUGUCUCAGCCUAAUAAGGGAACUGGGCAGGUGGGGAUAACGAAAAAGGAGUGCUUAAAAGAGUAUUGUCUAAGUUGGCACCAGAGUUGGGGAGUUUUAAGAGGUUUAGAAGCCUGGCUGUUAAUACCCACAACAGUUAUGGAGGCAAGGGAAACAGGCCCUUGAAAAGAAGGUAAUGUGGAGUGGGUAGCCUCCGUAUUGAUUAAGAAGGGGACGGGCUUACCUUCCACUGUGAGAGUUACCCGAAGCUCGGCGUCCAUGAUGGUCUAGGGGGCUUCCGAGGCGAUCGGGCAGUGUCAGUCUUCAGCCGCUAAGCCAAGAAGAUCUGGGAAGGAGUCAGAGAGCCUUGGGCCAGAGUUCCAGGGUCUCUGAGAGUGGCUGCCAGGUGAGUUGAACAGUCCGAUUUUCAGUGGGGUCCCGCACAGAUGGGACACGGCUUAGGAGGAAUCCGGGGCUGCAGGCAUUCCUUGGCCUAGUGGCCAGAUUUCCGGCACAUGUAGCAAGCUCCUGUGGGAGGAGGUUCUGGAGGAACGCCUGGCUGCUGUGGUUCAGGCAUUUGGAAGUUCUUGUGUGCUGGAGAUGUGGCUGGGGUUUGUCUCACAGCGGAGGCAAGGAAUUGCAACUUUUUUUUUUUAUUAUUCUACACCUUGAAGAGACUGGGUCUUGUGUCGCUCAGGCCGGAGAGCAGUGCUGCGAUCAUAGCUCGUUGUAACCUCCAGCUCCUCUCCUCAUCUUUUCAAGCGCUUGAG
rnacentral:lncRNA from 1 species